CCUGAUGCAGCGACGCCGCGUGAGGGAUGACGGCCUUCGGGUUGUAAACCUCUUUCAGUAGGGAAGAAGCGAAAGUGACGGUACCUGCAGAAGAAGCGCCGGCUAACUACGUGCCAGCAGCCGCGGUAAUACGUAGGGCGCAAGCGUUAUCCGGAAUUAUUGGGCGUAAAGAGCUCGUAGGCGGUUUGUCGCGUCUGCCGUGAAAGUCCGGGGCUCAACUCCGGAUCUGCGGUGGGUACGGGCAGACUAGAGUGAUGUAGGGGAGACUGGAAUUCCUGGUGUAGCGGUGAAAUGCGCAGAUAUCAGGAGGAACACCGAUGGCGAAGGCAGGUCUCUGGGCAUUAACUGACGCUGAGGAGCGAAAGCAUGGGGAGCGAACAGGAUUAGAUACCCUGGUAGUCCAUGCCGUAAACGUUGGGCACUAGGUGUGGGGGACAUUCCACGUUUUCCGCGCCGUAGCUAACGCAUUAAGUGCCCCGCCUGGGGAGUACGGCCGCAAGGCUAAAACUCAAAGGAAUUGACGGGGGCCCGCACAAGCGGCGGAGCAUGCGGAUUAAUUCGAUGCAACGCGAAGAACCUUACCAAGGCUUGACAUGGGCCGGACCGGGCUGGAAACAGUCCUUCCCCUU
rnacentral:rRNA from 1 species